CACCCUCCACCUCUACAGGCCUGGGCACCUCCACCACCGGGACAUUCUGGCGUCCUUUCCAUUACGAGUGGGAUGACAGCGACUCCGAUGAGGACAGCUGGUAAUGUAUACUGCAGGAUUGGAAAGCCUUUGCGUCUUGCGGGGCAGAAGAAUCCUCAGGAAGCCUUAGCGUCUUGUGGGGCUCACUCAGCCCUCGGUAGCGUCUUGCACCAGGGCCCACUUGUACAUAUCUGAAUCUUGAGGGCUAAAAGGCCCAGGUGAACCCUCCACAUCUGACAUUGUUGUGGAUGCAUUAGGUAGCGUUUCACACCUAGUUAUUUCUUUUUACAGGGUUUUUAUCACAGGUUAUAUAUUUGGACAAUGUGGGGUUCAGUUUCUUGCACUUGUUCUUUGAUUUUUCAGGCACGUAUACCUGAGGUAAGUUGACAAUUAAUGACAGCAUCAACACAUUUUAAUUUCACUUAUUUAAUACUUGAGGGAUUAUUCGUCUUACUCACUUUGUUGUUGUUUUGUUUUUCAGGUGGCCACACCAAACAAAUACCCAACAUCCAGGACUUCUUGGCGUCAGAGACGAUGCGUUUACCCCGGACCAGAUGAGAAGGAUGGACGACUACAGGACCAGAAGGAGAGCGGUGGUCGCCUUUCUUUCAGUCAGCUAAGGCGGGACUCCUCUAUGUUUGUGGUACUCUUUGAGCAGCUGAGAGUGGCUGUCAAUCAUCUCAGGCAGAACCAGGACCACAGCAGACCACUGAGCCACUCUCAGCCUCAACCCCCCCGCCUCUCCACCCUGACCCCG